AGAUGUCAAAUCAGCUGCACUGUAGUUGCACAUUGGCGUCCAGCGUGCAAGCCUGACGGUAGACCGAUAAAACCACGAAGUUGCGGUGAUAUUACCGCCUCUAGUGUAUGGGAGGCGAUGGACAGGCCCUCGCGAACAAGCGUUCGCUGCUUCAGAAGUCAAGAGUUUAUGUCACUGCUAUCGACUUAGAAUCAGGGCAGGCAAAGGAGAAAACAUCGCAAAAGUCACGAACAGUGGAGCGAUGGAGUCACUGCGCGCUCUCUCUACAACCGCUAGAGGCACCAGUAGUGUUUGAUGGGGCUGGUGAUAUCUUCUCGAAGCAGAGCGUCAUUAACUAUCUGUUCGAUCGUAAGGAGCGUAGUUACGGCGCGGUAGGAGACAAGGAAGACAAAUUUUGCAUAAAAAAGCUCGCAGAUGUGAAAGAGAUUGCGAAUGAGGUAGGCAGCGAUGGAAGCGUCUGUUGUCCUAUUACAGAUUAUUCCACAGUCUCAGGCGUGCACUCCUUUGUCGGUUUCUGGGGAUGCGGGCAUGUUGUGUCUGCUUCAACACUGAACAAAUCAAACGAUCUAAAGUCACAGAUCGACGUUGAGUGCCCUUUUUGCGGCCUUGAAUCGUUUUACGUUCGCCUCAUUUGCGAAGAUGCAGAAGACGCGGAGAAUCAACAGGUGUUUUUGCGACAUUACAUCAAGAGGUUCCGAAAGCGCGUUCGGGAUGAUGAUGCGGAUUAAGUGGUGACGGCGAAAGGCGUGAUACAGUAUGUGCGACGAAUCGCGCAUUUCGCAUGACCAUGCUUUUGAGGUGCGCUCAGGUUGAACUCACCAAUACACCAACACUAGCGUCAACAACAGCAAACAACGCUGCGGUGUGCGCUGCGCUGUGUUGCACUGAUGCUAUACGGGGACACAUUUGUGUACAUCUUUCUGCCCAUAAUGCGUGCACUCCACGUCCUGAGGAAUAAAUCCGGCUCUUUUAGCCUAUCGCGUGUACCUCUGAUUUUAGCUUGUCUUCUGUCACUGUGAAUCCAUGGGCAAUGCGGGCAAACUUGCGAAAUAGGCCAUUCCGGGGGAGCCGCCGCCAACUGAAUCGAUCAUGGACCUGACUACCGACCUCCAACACCAG
rnacentral:misc_RNA from 1 species